UACGUAGGGGGCGAGCGUUGUCCGGAUUUACUGGGCGUAAAGGGAGCGUAGGCGGUUAUUUAAGUGGGAUGUGAAAUACUCGGGCUUAACCUGGGUGCUGCAUUCCAAACUGGAUAUCUAGAGUGCAGGAGAGGAAAGUAGAAUUCCUAGUGUAGCGGUGAAAUGCGUAGAGAUUAGGAAGAAUACCAGUGGCGAAGGCGACUUUCUGGACUGUAACUGACACUCAGGCUCGAAAGCGUGGGGAGCAAACAGG
rnacentral:rRNA from 1 species